rnacentral:rRNA from 1 species
GAUGAACGCUAGCGGCAGGCUUAAUACAUGCAAGUCGAACGGGAAUUGGGUAGCAAUACCUGAUGAUAGUGGCGCACGGGUGCGUAACGCGUAUGCAACCUACCUUUAACAGGGGGAUAGCCCGGAGAAAUUCGGAUUAAUACCCCAUAGUAUUAUGGAGAGGCAUCUUUUCAUGAUUAAAGUUCCGGCGGUUAAAGAUGGGCAUGCGUGCCAUUAGCUAGUUGGUGAGGUAACGGCUCAUCAAGGCGACGAUGGUUAGGGGUCCUGAGAGGGUUAUCCCCCACACUGGUACUGAGACACGGACCAGACUCCUACGGGAGGCAGCAGUAAGGAAUAUUGGUCAAUGGGCGGAAGCCUGAACCAGCCAUGCCGCGUGCAGGAAGACGGCCUUAUGGGUUGUAAACUGCUUUUGUCAGGGAAUAAACCCUCGUUUGCGAACGAGGCUGAAGGUACCUGAAGAAUAAGCAUCGGCUAACUCCGUG